rnacentral:tRNA from 1 species
GCCUGGCUGGCUCAGUUGGUAGAGCACAUGACUCUUCAUCUCAGCCCCGUGAGUUCAAGCCCCACGUUGGGCA